GCGACCGUAGGCGAUGCUGGUAAGGCUACUCCCCUGUCACGGGAGAAUAUGCGGGUUCGAACCCCGUCGGUCGCGCCA
rnacentral:tRNA from 1 species